AAUUUUGGACAAUGGGCGCAAGCCUGAUCCAGCAAUGCCGCGUGAGUGAAGAAGGCCUUCGGGUUGUAAAGCUCUUUUGUCAGGGAAGAAACGGGCCUGGUUAAUACCUGGGCUUAAUGACGGUACCUGAAGAAUAAGCAACGGCUAACUACGUCCCAGCAGCCGCGGUAAUACGUAGGGUGCAAGCGUUAAUCGGAAUUACUGGGCGUAAAGCGUGCGCAGGCGGUUUUGUAAGUCUGACGUGAAAUCCCCGGGCUUAACCUGGGAAUUGCGUUGGAGACUGCAAGGCUGGAGUCUGGCAGAGGGGGGUAGAAUUCCACGUGUAGCAGUGAAAUGCGUAGAGAUGUGGAGGAACACCGAUGGCGAAGGCAGCCCCCUGGGUCAAGACUGACGCUCAUGCACGAAAGCGUGGGGAGC
rnacentral:rRNA from 1 species